UGGGCCAAUGGUCCGAAUCGAAUUGUUACAAUACCGAUGAGACAAAUACACCAGUCGAUGGCAAACCUUUAUUCUGAAUGUGGCGGUGAUUUGGAAUCACUACCCUACUCCAGUUUCACCUUGUCAGUCACUCAUGCGGAUUAAAAUGCCACCCACACACGCGAAAGCACGUAUUGGAAAUCAGGCUGUGGUAGUUACAGCACGUUAACCAGUCUCAAGUAAGGUACCAGUACUUACUGCCUGGAAUAAAAUUGGCGUGAUGCAUGUGGGAACUGGGAAGACAAAAGCAAAAUACUGCUAGAUACAGGACUCGCGGGAUAAAGCCAUGUAUAAUUCCCCGAAGCAACAAUACCUAAGGCGUAUCCCAUAAUAGCAUCCCUUGGUUGGCGUGCUACCACCGUCCUCCUCUACUUCUCUGCCAGCUUUUCAAGCAUCAAUAAAUUCCCAGUCCUAGAACAGGGUUUACUUCCGAGCUAACAUGACCAGGAUAAAGCUGCAAAGAAGUCCCUCCCCGGGGCGGGGGUCACACUUCUGUGGGCCUGCUCUUCCUUUUGCAUAAUUCCUCAUUGCAGACCAACCCCUCCCCGCGCCUUUUUCCUUUCCAAAGCCCUCGCCCUAUGCCGGUUAAAAUGUUGGUCCCCAAACACAACCUGGCGGCUCAAAUUUAACAAGCCCUAUCUUAAUAUCCUCCCCCUCCCUCCGCCCCCCUCUCCCUGUGGUCUGGUUAAUUUCAUACACAAGAGAUGAAUUACCGAAGGGAUCUAAUUGGCCUUGUUUCUGCAAUAUUGUGUGUGUGUGUGUCUCGGUGUAAAAGUCUCCUCUCGACGUGGGUGGUCGGAGCGGAGGACGUCUCCAAUUUGCCUCCUGGCUGAUGCGCACGAAAGAGCGCGGCCGCCUUCCUCGCGAGCACGUUGCCCCUGAUCCAUCUGUCCUCCCUUCUUUACAUUGGUCCGCAUUGUUACCUUUAAUAUGCAUGGCCCGCGCAUGUAGCUUGCGCCUGGGCAGCAGGAUUUGUCAACUUCAAGGAAUCGCGAGGCGGCUCCUGCGGAUUUAAGGGAGACGGAGCGCUGCCUUUGUGUGUGUGUGUUAUCGGGCUCCACGGGCCCGGCCUGCCUGCCGUUCUUUGGCGUCUUGCUUUUUCCACGUGGCCUGGGAGAAUGGAGGGACGAGGCGAGGCCUGCAGCGGGCCCGGGCCAGCCAUCGCUCCAGCUGGCCUUUUCUUUCUCGCCUGGUUGCAGCGGGAUCUGCAUUUCAUUAGAAACCUUCCCUUGGCGCCACAACAAUCGCCCUUGCAAGCAAUCUCGGUGCACCGGGACCAGCCACCAUAGAGAAGUCCUCUUGGUGGCGAGAGAACUUCCAGAGUUUCGAUCUGUCCUUGCCAUGCCGAGGUCGUAAAGCGAGGCCUUGCAGCAUCCGGUUACAUUCAUAAAAAGAGACGACGUUGAAAUAAACCACCUGCCUUCACGUGGGGGCGGGGAGGGGAGAGGGAGGCAAGACGUGAAACUCUUCAAGCAGUUGGCAUGAGAAAGUCCCCGGCCUUACUCAAUGGGAGUACAGAAACCCAUUUUCCAGGAAGAAAGCCCAGACUGUCCUAUGGAAGCUUCUGCAGACAACAGUUCCAUUGAUUUCUGAAGGACUUGGAACACAGUUUGGCUUCAUGUUUCAUGACGAAAACGUCCCAUCCUGUCGAGGAGGCAACUGUUAAAUCCUAAGCUGUAAGCGUCUUAAACGGGACGUCCGACGGAUCACCGCCACUACUAACGAGCAGCGACCCGUGGCUAGAUCACACACGCACAGAGGGAUCCCUCUCUCCCUGUCUCUCGUUCUCUCCCCUAGCCCUGAUCACCACGACAGUAGAUUGGAAGACACGUCCGGAAAGAGCCCAUCUUCCCCCUCUCCACACUGCGCUUGCUCGGAAGCAAGCCCCAUUCUGACGUGCAGGGACCCCCAACAAUCGUGUUUGAGUCCCUCGCGAAGCCAAGAUCAAGCUACAAGCCGCUUACUCCAGAGUAGCCUCAGAGAAGUCGGGGGGGGGGAGAGAGAGGAUGCUGCAAAGCUCGUGGGAAAAGAAGAGCCCCAAACUAAGUAACACGAAGUUUGUGUUCAGACAAGGAUUGUAAAUCAAUCAGAUCCACAACUUGGCAAACUCGCCUCCCCUUUUUGUUUUAAAUGCCAGUUAAAGGUAAUCCUGGGUGGUUGUGUUUUUUUUGCGGGAGGGGGGGUGAGAGAGAAGGCAACCCCAGCAGACACGCACGACUUAAUCCUCCCUGAAACACAACAAAAUCCAACGCGCUGUCCAGCAAAUUUUUCUCCCAGGGAAACAAAUCUCUCUCUCUCUCUCUCUCUCUCUCUCUCAUUCCCGGGGAGGGGGACUCCUCGCGGGCGGAAGGCAGGGUGGCGACCCUAUCCAAGCGUGAAAAUAGGAUCCCCGAGACCUCCUUGGACGCGAAUUAUCACCGAUCAGUUCCGUCCUCGCCACCCCCAGCGGCAGCCGCCCUCCUCGCCCCCACCGCCAAACGAGACGCUGCCUGCCUGGGGGGCUGUGUGUUCCUGCAGUGACAGGAGCGAGGCGAAGCUGCCUCCCCUCCGCCUCCUCUCCCCCAAGCAAAAAGCCAUCCUGCGUUUCCUUCCUCUUGUUUCACCCCCCCCCCGUGCCAGGAUUUGCCCUCUGCCAGGAGAUCUCUCUCUCUCUGGAUCCCCGCUCCCACCCACGGGUGCCCCCCUUCCUGUUUCAUUUCCCAGCCCAGAGGCCAUUUUCCGUUGCAUCUCUUACCAUCUCCCCGCUGAGCCCCUCGGUGGGGCAGGGUGAGCUCCCGGUGGGGCCGGCCAAUUUCAUUCAG